rnacentral:tRNA from 1 species
GGGUAAUUAGCUCAGUGGCUAGAGUGCUUCGUUUACACUAAGAAAGAAAGCAGUUCAAGUCCAUUAUUACCUA